rnacentral:rRNA from 1 species
UACCAGCACCCCGAGUGGUCGGGACGAUUAUUGGGCCUAAAGCAUCCGUAGCCGGUCCUGCAAGUCUUCCGUUAAAUCCAGCUGCUCAACAGAUGGGCUGCGGGAGAUACUACAGGGCUAGGAGGCGGGAGAGGCAAGCGGUACUUUAUGGGUAGGGGUAAAAGUCCGCUGAUCCAUAGAAGACCACCAGUGGCGAAGGCGGCUUGCCAGAACGCGCUCGACGGUGAGGGAUGAAAGCUGGGGGGAGCAAACCGGG